GGAAUCUUCGGCAAUGGGGGCAACCCUGACCGAGCAACGCCGCGUGAGUGAAGAAGGUUUUCGGAUCGUAAAGCUCUGUUGUAAGAGAAGAACGUGUGUGAGAGUGGAAAGUUCACACAGUGACGGUAACUUACCAGAAAGGGACGUCUAACUACGUGCCGG
rnacentral:rRNA from 1 species